rnacentral:rRNA from 1 species
GACGAACGCUGGCGGCGUGCUUAACACAUGCAAGUCGAACGGAAAGGCCCUGCUUUUGUGGGGUGCUCGAGUGGCGAACGGGUGAGUAACACGUGAGUAACCUGCCCUUGACUUUGGGAUAACUUCAGGAAACUGGGGCUAAUACCGGAUAGGAGCUCCUGCUGCAUGGUGGGGGUUGGAAAGUUUCGGCGGUUGGGGAUGGACUCGCGGCUUAUCAGCUUGUUGGUGGGGUAGUGGCUUACCAAGGCUUUGACGGGUAGCCGGCCUGAGAGGGUGACCGGCCACAUUGGGACUGAGAUACGGCCCAGACUCCGACGGGAGGCAGCAGUGGGGAAUAUUGCACAAUGGGCGGAAGCCGGAUGCAGCAACGCCGCGUGCGGGAUGACGGCCUUCGGGUUGUAACCGCUUUCGCCUGUGACGAAGCGUGAGUGACGGUAAUGGGUAAAGAAGCACCGGCUAACUACGUG